UGGGGAAUAUUGCACAAUGGGCGCAAGCCUGAUGCAGCAACGCCGCGUGAGGGAUGACGGCCUUCGGGUUGUAAACCUCUUUUAGCAGGGAAGAAGCGAAAAGUGACGGUACCUGCAGAAAAAGCACCGGCUAACUACGUGCCAGCAGCCGCGGUAAUACGUAGGGUGCAAGCGUUGUCCGGAAUUAUUGGGGCGUAAAAGAGCUCGUAGGCGGUCUGUCGCGUCUGCUGUGAAAUCCCGAGGCUCAACCUCGGGCCUGCAGUGGGUACGGGCAGACUAGAGUGCGGUAGGGGAGAAUGGAACUCCUGGUGUAGCGGUGGAAUGCGCAGAUAUCAGGAAGAACACCGAUGGCGAAGGCAGUUCUCUGGGCCGUAACUGACGCUGAGGAGCGAAACGCGUGGGGAGCGAACAGGAUUAGAUACCCUGGUAGUCCACGCCGUAAACGUUGGGCGCUAGAUGUGGGGACCAUUCCACGGUUUCGUGUGCGCAGCUAACGCAUUAAGCG
rnacentral:rRNA from 1 species